rnacentral:rRNA from 1 species
GACGAACGCUGGCGGCGUGCUUAACACAUGCAAGUCGAGCGGUAAGGCCCUUUGGGGUACACGAGCGGCGAACGGGUGAGUAACACGUGAGCAAUCUGCCCUUCACUUUGGGAUAACCUCCGGAAACGGUGGCUAAUACCGAAUGCGACUGCCGGCUGCAUGGUCUGGUGGUGGAAAGUUUUUGCGGUGGGGGAUGAGCU